GUGGGGAAUAUUGGACAAUGGGCGAAAGCCUGAUCCAGCAAUGCCGCGUGGGGGACGAAGGCCUUCGGGUUGUAAACCCCUUUCAGCAGGGACGAACAUGACGGUACCUGCCGAAGAAGCCCCGGCCAACUACGUGCCAGCAGCCGCGGUAAUACGUAGGGGGCGAGCGUUGUCCGGAUUUAUUGGGCGUAAAGAGCUCGUAGGCGGUUUGGCAAGUCGGGUGUGAAAACUCCGGGCUCAACUCGGAGACGCCACUCGAUACUGCUAUGACUCGAGUCCGGUAGGGGAGUGCGGAAUUCCUGGUGUAGCGGUGAAAUGCGCAGAUAUCAGGAGGGACACCGGUGGCGAAGGCGGCACUCUGGGCCGGAACUGACGCUGAGGAGCGAAAGCGUGGGGAGCGAA
rnacentral:rRNA from 1 species